GACGAACGCUGGCGGCGUGCUUAACACAUGCAAGUCGUACGGUAAGGCCCUUUCGGGGGUACACGAGUGGCGAACGGGUGAGUAACACGUGAGUAACCUGCCCACAACUUUGGGAUAACGCUAGGAAACUGGUGCUAAUACUGGAUAUGUGCUCCUGCUGCAUGGUGGGGGUUGGAAAGCUCCGGCGGUUGUGGAUGGACUCGCGGCCUAUCAGCUUGUUGGUGGGGUAGUGGCCUACCAAGGCGGCGACGGGUAGCCGGCCUGAGAGGGUGACCGGCCACAUUGGGACUGAGAUGCGGCCCAGACUCCUACGGGAGGCAGCAGUGGGGAAUAUUGCACAAUGGGCGCAAGCCUGAUGCAGCAACGCCGCGUGCGGGAGGACGGCCUUCGGGUUGUAAACCGCUUUCAGCAGGGACGAAGCUUUUUGUGACGGUACCUGCAGAAGAAGCACCGGCUAACUACGUG
rnacentral:rRNA from 1 species